UACGAAGGGGGCUAGCGUUGCUCGGAAUCACUGGGCGUAAAGGGUGCGUAGGCGGGUCUUUAAGUCAGAGGUGAAAUCCCAAGGCUCAACCUUGGAACUGCCUUUGAUACUGGGGAUCUCGAGUCCGGAAGAGGUGAGUGGAACUGCGAGUGUAGAGGUGAAAUUCGUAGAUAUUCGCAAGAACACCAGUGGCGAAGGCGGCUCACUGGUCCGGUACUGACGCUGAGGUGCGAAAGCGUGGGGAGCAAACAGG
rnacentral:rRNA from 1 species